UACGGGGGGGGCAAGCGUUGUUCGGAAUCACUGGGCGUAAAGCGCACGUAGGCGGAUCUUUAAGUCAGGGGUGAAAUCCUGGAGCUCAACUCCAGAACUGCCUUCGAUACUGGAAGACUUGAGUCCGGGAGAGGUGAGUGGAACUGCGAGUGUAGAGGUGAAAUUCGUAGAUAUUCGCAAGAACACCAGUGGCGAAGGCGGCUCACUGGCCCGGGUACUGACGCUGAGGUGCGAAAGCGUGGGGAGCAAACAGG
rnacentral:rRNA from 1 species